AAGACACUUGUCUCUUUCAACUUGAGGUUGCACAGGCAACACUGAGCAGGUAUGAUGAAUGAAUGCAUGUUUGAAAAGUGUAUGAAACAAACAAAAACUGAAGGAAGACGUCGAAGGUGACUCGUGACCGUAGCAAGUGCGGGCGUGGCCACUUUUGGUCCGAUGGAGAGCGUCCACCGAGAUGGUGAAGAAAAACAACCGGUGCAUAACAGCAGAUUUAGCAGACAUGGCGAAGUCGGCACCGAGUGAAGAAGGUGCCCAGGACGCAAGAAUGGCAGCCAGCAGAGCUUCUGCAUCAAGGUCGCUGCGGACUAACUUGGACAAGGGUUUUCUCUACAUCAUCUGGCAUUGGCUAUGCUUGUUCUAAUCAUUCGGCAUUGGCCAAACUAGCCCUACAUCUCUGAUUUCGUAUCCAAGCUCUGGCUGCCGAACACCAAAACACCAAAAGGUCAUUGAUCUCGACUCACCCGACACUUCCAUCCCUUACACAAGAAUGUGAGAGAUGUCCCUGUGUGCCACAGAGAACGCGCAUCGGCAUUGCUGAGACGCACAGUCGGCGUCGGACAAGGAGGACGUACACGAACCAGGCGAUAUGAAAGGAGGGGAAGCCUCCCAAGAGUUCGUCCUGUCCCGGCACCUGGGUGUCCGCCUUGGCAUAACACCUCGACUAGAUCAACUGGUAGACAGUGACAGGAUCCGGUUGUGUUCUUUCAUGGUGCCGAUGCUGGAGCUCCGACUGGUGAAAAGCUACAUGCACGAAGUGAAAUGCUGUCCAGGUGUGCAGCCACUCUCUGCCAAAUUUCACAGAUUGCCAUUCCCGCUUUGAGAACAAGUCUUCAAUGAACUUUCUUGUUCUGCGAAAUUGGGUGUCAUCGAAUGAGUUUCAGCAUCGAAUUGGGUCUCCCAACUGGUCCUGGUGAAGAAAAAGAAUGGUUCCUUAAGACUUUGUGUGGACUUGCGUGAACCAAACAAAGCUAUCGUGGUUGAUGGGUUUCUUCUACCCCACAUCAAAGAACUUCUCCAGCAACCUACAAGUGCCGUUUACUUUUCAAAGCUAGAUCUUGCAUUAGCGUACCAUCAAGUUAACUUGUCGGUAUCAAGUAGAGACUUUACCUCUGUAAGACAAGAUUGUUUAUACAGAUUUCGCAGAGUUUGCUUUGGGCUUGCAUCUACCCCUGCUGUUUUUCAGAAAAUGAUGUCGGACAUCUUGAAAGAUUGCUUGGUAGUGCUGUGCUACUUAGAUUACAUUUUGGUCUGCGGUCGAAUGCGUGCUCAGCAUGAUGCUAAUCUACAAGUUCUAUAAACAACACAACAAUGAAACUGAAUGACAAAUGUGCCUUUGCCGUCAAGCAAAUUCAAUUAUUAGGACACAAUGUCAGUACCAGAGGAUUGUUUCCUCUUGAAUCCAAAGUCCAAGCUACUGUUAUUGCACCUACACCUGCAGAUUCUGAAACCUUGCAUUCAUUUCUUGGACUCGCUGUCAAUUACUCAAAGUUUAUUCCACAUUAUACUGAUGUUGUUGAACCACUGCAUUUCUUGUUACAAAAAGGCCAAACAUUCAAUUGGUCCAAGGAAGCCAGUUUGGCUUUCAACCAAAUCAAAAAAGUACUAGCUGCAAACCCAGUCAUUCAACUCUUUGACAAGAAUCUUCUAAUAGCCAUUACGACAGAUGUGUCUAACAUAGAAUUGAGUGCCGUGUUUCAACAACUCAAAGGUGACCUCCUAAUUGCAAUUGCUUUUGCUUCGAGAACUUUGUCUCCUGCUGAAAGCAGAUAAUCUGCUGGUGAGCAUGAAGCCCUAGCCUGCCUCUUUGCUUGCGAGAAAUGACAUGUGUACUUAUGGGGUAGACAUUUUACAUUAGGCACUGAUCAUCAAGCUCUUGUUACAUUGCUUUCUGCUGGAUCAGAGGACCGACGCCCAUUACGCAUUUCCCGCUGGUGUGCCAGACUGUUAUACUACAACUUCACUGUACAGUGCUGCAAGGGUUCACAUAAUGUUGUGGUGGAUGCACUUUCUCGUUUACCUUUACAGCUUCCAGUCUGUCUAGAGCCGGAAGAAGAAAUAAUCUCUCUCGUUACUUCUUGCAUAAGCAAAGCUGACCUACAGGUAGAAACUGCUGAAGAUGCUACAUCGCAGCAUGCGCUUGCAAUCAUUGCUAAUUAUUGGCCAGAUAAGAAAUCUCUGCCACCAAAACAUUGUGGCAACCUAGAAAGUUUAGUUUUCUGCGCAGAUAAAGUCACCAUUCCUAUAAUGUGCAACAGACUUGUAAAAUUGGCUCAUGAAAGCCACCCAGGAAUUGUCAGAACGAAGCAACAGCUUAGAGAAAGAUACUGGUGGCCUGGCUUAGAUAGUAAAGUUGAAUGUGCUGUUCGGAACUGCAUUGUAUGUAAAACAGCCGAUAAAUCUGCCGAACCUGUUUUUGCACCCCUCCAACCUGUCUCGUGGGCAAGCAAACAGGGGGAAAAGCUAGGCAUGGACAUUGUCGGGCCACUCACACGUGCUUCUUACGACUGCAGACUUGCCAUUACAUUAGUUGAUCACCACUCUAAGUGGCAGGAAGCUUGUUUUACUCAUGCAGUCACUUCCGAAGCGGUAAUUACAUUCUUUACAGCACUUCAGUAGGGAAGGCUUUCUUGAGGCAUUGUUACAGACAACGGUCCCCAAUUAGAGUCACAACUGUUUGAAACUUUUCUCUCAGACCGAAGCAUUCAGCCUUUUUGCUCAUCGAACUACUAUCCACAAGUCAACGGCCAAGUUGAACGUUUCAACAGAGUUCUGAAAGAGCAAAUUCAGCUCUCUCAACUUGAAUGCCACCCACUGAAACAUGCUGUUACAGAGUACUUAGGCACGUAUAGCUUUGCACCUCAAGCUACUACAGGCUUUUCACCUGCACAACUUUUGCAUAAUUGCCAACCACGUUCUAAAAUCGACAUUGCAAGGUUACACCCAAACUCUUCUGCUCCUUUGCCAAUGUUGGAUCUAGUAAGAACACGAGUAUUCUAUCAGCAACAGGCAACUAACCAAUGCAUUGAUUUAAAGGUCAGAGCAAAACCUCCUAAGCUACAGGUGAGCCACAGGGUCAAAGUUCGUCUUCCAGCUAAGCAGAUUAAGUACAAGGGUCCGUAGACAAUUACUAGUCAACUUGGACUGAAUUCAUUCAGCCUGAGUGAUGGCAAUGUAUGGAAUGCUUCAAAGCUCGUACUGGUUCAUGCCGAGCAAAACUCAACUUCACAGCAGAAUUCACUUCCUCCGCCUAAUUCUUCAUUCAAGCAACAGAAUUACUCCCCACUUCGAUCCAUGUCCUUUUGCAAUGCUCCAGUUACUGACCCUUCCACAAACAAUCUUACAGGUGACUUCACAAGAAAAGGCUGAUAAGCCCAGCCCCAGUGCAGAUUUUUUCAAAGGUGGGAAAGAUGCUUCGGGUAUGGAUGUGUCAUGUACAAACACUCCAAAAUCGCUCUGCAUUUGCUCUCUGAUGAUAAGCAUGUAGGUGAGCCCCAAAGCUCAAAAUCUUCCGAGAUAGAUAAGGCUCCAUCGGUGAAUCCUUCAUCUCAUUCUCCUGCAAGCCUUCGUCCCAAGUGACGCCGUGAAGAACUGGCGCGUUACAAGGAUUAUGUCCUUUGAAUAUACUUCUACAUUCCUACAUGUGAUAACUACUGUGGAAUGUUUUAUUGUACAAUUUUCUGCAAGAUCUUUUCAGUGGUUAUGCCAAAUUCUCAUGUGCAUCAAAAAUUUAUUGCAUUUUACUAGUCUAUUUUAUGCAUGUUACUAUAUGUCAAAGUUUCAGUGCCUCGCUGCUAUAUAAUGUUGGAAACAACUGUGAUUGCAUGCGGUGGUGGUAGUUCUGUAAAAUUGAUCUGCAUUCUCUUGUACCAGUAAACAAGAGCUUAAUUCUCCUUUGCUUUAUAAGGGGAGGUGAUGUGGUGUUGGGCAUAUGAUGUCCUAAAUUAAAUAUUAUGUAUUUACUCACGUAAUGGACGCACCUUUUUUCAGAAAAAUCGGAUCAAUGUUCGGGGGUGCGUUAAUUACGCGGGGUAAAUUUUAUGAAAACUUUUUUGGGAGGAGCGGAAAAUGCGGUAAUGCAAAAACAAGUUAGGUUGCUUAGGUUUCCACAAUUAACAUACGAGUACACUGUUUGGAAUCAGCUAGCUACUUUGUCCCACUUUAUUCAUCUUCGGUGAUUGAUGGCGCUAUCUUUUGCAAGCUGUGCCCUGACCGCCCGUACACGUAAUAAAGGCGCUUUGCGGCUAUCUUUUCUCGCAAUCGCUUAACCGCAA
rnacentral:misc_RNA from 1 species